CAGUUUUCUCCUACUAUAGGCAACCAAGAGGAUCAGGAACCACUGCAAACAGCCGAGAUAAUCUAGGGACAGUCAUUAAAGGAUAUGUUUUCACAUGAGGAAAAUAUAUUUUCUAGUUUCAUGUACUUGAGAGAAAUAAAACCAAUAAACCCAUAGAGUGCUGAGGCACAAACACUUUCUCUACCAAAAAGGUGCAAGAUGUAGGACGAAUGAGAGAAGCACUUGAAGAAAAUUCUUGCAAGCUUUAGCUGAAUGGCACUGAUAACAAUCGUUCACCAUUUUGGUCUGUUCCUGUAUGGCUGCGAGGGCUUGACAGGUCAAAAGUGCAUGGUCAGUACAGACUGGAUUGCAAGAAUGCUCAUGACAAAAAGCCAUGAACAGCAUCUCAGCCUUUAAGAAAGUAAUGAACCUGACUUGAGCAGGUAACCAGACACACUGUGGAAGUGACAUCUAGAAUGCUGAUUAAAAGAGAUCUACAAUUUAAGUAUGCCCUCUGUUUGAAAAGUAACAUGGAAAAUUAAAAUCUACCAUUAAGGAAAUUCACUCCACAAAGCCAGCAGGAAGAGCUUGGUUGUGGGUGUGAAUCACUCAGGUUAAACAUUUAAUGUACAUCCACCUACACAAAUAUUUCCUCCUUUUACUUACUCCAUACCUACUUCCCCUUCCCACCCCCCGAACAGAUAAACAGAUAGAGGACAGAAGGUAACUGCAAAUUAUCCCCAGGAUAACAAAACUACAAGAGUGCUCCAAUUCUUAAGAUUGUCACAUCCAGAACAAGGAUUACCAAGCCAUAGACUGAAAUUUGGUUGCUGGCUGAAGGUCGUUAAAACCCUGCUUACUGGAAACCCCCCUUUUCUUUCAGGAAAUCAGAGUCCACACAACGAAGUUCCAAGAAAGCUCUCUCUCCAUAUCUUUCUAAAUAAAAUUUUUCUUCUUUCAAAUA